ACUAAGCGUACACGGUGGAUGCCCUGGCAGUCAGAGGCGAUGAAGGACGUGCUAAUCUGCGAUAAGCGUCGGUAAGGUGAUAUGAACCGUUAUAACCGGCGAUUUCCGAAUGGGGAAACCCAGUGUGUUUCGACACACUAUCAUUAACUGAAUCCAUAGGUUAAUGAGGCGAACCGGGGGAACUGAAACAUCUAAGUACCCCGAGGAAAAGAAAUCAACCGAGAUUCCCCCAGUAGCGGCGAGCGAACGGGGAGCAGCCCAGAGCCUGAAUCAGUGUGUGUGUUAGUGGAAGCGUCUGGAAAGGCGCGCGAUACAGGGUGACAGCCCCGUACACAAAAAUACACAUACUGUGAGCUCGAUGAGUAGGGCGGGACACGUGGUAUCCUGUCUGAAUAUGGGGGGACCAUCCUCCAAGGCUAAAUACUCCUGACUGACCGAUAGUGAACCAGUACCGUGAGGGAAAGGCGAAAAGAACCCCGGCGAGGGGAGUGAAAAAGAACCUGAAACCGUGUACGUACAAGCAGUGGGAGCACGCUUAGGCGUGUGACUGCGUACCUUUUGUAUAAUGGGUCAGCGACUUAUAUUCUGUAGCAAGGUUAACCGAAUAGGGGAGCCGAAGGGAAACCGAGUCUUAACUGGGCGUUAAGUUGCAGGGUAUAGACCCGAAACCCGGUGAUCUAGCCAUGGGCAGGUUGAAGGUUGGGUAACACUAACUGGAGGACCGAACCGACUAAUGUUGAAAAAUUAGCGGAUGACUUGUGGCUGGGGGUGAAAGGCCAAUCAAACCGGGAGAUAGCUGGUUCUCCCCGAAAGCUAUUUAGGUAGCGCCUCGUGAAUUCAUCUCCGGGGGUAGAGCACUGUUUCGGCAAGGGGGUCAUCCCGACUUACCAACCCGAUGCAAACUGCGAAUACCGGAGAAUGUUAUCACGGGAGACACACGGCGGGUGCUAACGUCCGUCGUGAAGAGGGAAACAACCCAGACCGCCAGCUAAGGUCCCAAAGUCAUGGUUAAGUGGGAAACGAUGUGGGAAGGCCCAGACAGCCAGGAUGUUGGCUUAGAAGCAGCCAUCAUUUAAAGAAAGCGUAAUAGCUCACUGGUCGAGUCGGCCUGCGCGGAAGAUGUAACGGGGCUAAACCAUGCACCGAAGCUGCGGCAGCGACGCUUAUGCGUUGUUGGGUAGGGGAGCGUUCUGUAAGCCUGCGAAGGUGUGCUGUGAGGCAUGCUGGAGGUAUCAGAAGUGCGAAUGCUGACAUAAGUAACGAUAAAGCGGGUGAAAAGCCCGCUCGCCGGAAGACCAAGGGUUCCUGUCCAACGUUAAUCGGGGCAGGGUGAGUCGACCCCUAAGGCGAGGCCGAAAGGCGUAGUCGAUGGGAAACAGGUUAAUAUUCCUGUACUUGGUGUUACUGCGAAGGGGGGACGGAGAAGGCUAUGUUGGCCGGGCGACGGUUGUCCCGGUUUAAGCGUGUAGGCUGGUUUUCCAGGCAAAUCCGGAAAAUCAAGGCUGAGGCGUGAUGACGAGGCACUACGGUGCUGAAGCAACAAAUGCCAUGCUUCCAGGAAAAGCCUCUAAGCAUCAGGUAACAUCAAAUCGUACCCCAAACCGACACAGGUGGUCAGGUAGAGAAUACCAAGGCGCUUGAGAGAACUCGGGUGAAGGAACUAGGCAAAAUGGUGCCGUAACUUCGGGAGAAGGCACGCUGAUAUGUAGGUGAAGCGACUUGCUCGUGGAGCUGAAAUCAGUCGAAGAUACCAGCUGGCUGCAACUGUUUAUUAAAAACACAGCACUGUGCAAACACGAAAGUGGACGUAUACGGUGUGACGCCUGCCCGGUGCCGGAAGGUUAAUUGAUGGGGUCAGCGCAAGCGAAGCUCUUGAUCGAAGCCCCGGUAAACGGCGGCCGUAACUAUAACGGUCCUAAGGUAGCGAAAUUCCUUGUCGGGUAAGUUCCGACCUGCACGAAUGGCGUAAUGAUGGCCAGGCUGUCUCCACCCGAGACUCAGUGAAAUUGAACUCGCUGUGAAGAUGCAGUGUACCCGCGGCAAGACGGAAAGACCCCGUGAACCUUUACUAUAGCUUGACACUGAACAUUGAGCCUUGAUGUGUAGGAUAGGUGGGAGGCUUUGAAGUGUGGACGCCAGUCUGCAUGGAGCCGACCUUGAAAUACCACCCUUUAAUGUUUGAUGUUCUAACGUUGACCCGUAAUCCGGGUUGCGGACAGUGUCUGGUGGGUAGUUUGACUGGGGCGGUCUCCUCCUAAAGAGUAACGGAGGAGCACGAAGGUUGGCUAAUCCUGGUCGGACAUCAGGAGGUUAGUGCAAUGGCAUAAGCCAGCUUGACUGCGAGCGUGACGGCGCGAGCAGGUGCGAAAGCAGGUCAUAGUGAUCCGGUGGUUCUGAAUGGAAGGGCCAUCGCUCAACGGAUAAAAGGUACUCCGGGGAUAACAGGCUGAUACCGCCCAAGAGUUCAUAUCGACGGCGGUGUUUGGCACCUCGAUGUCGGCUCAUCACAUCCUGGGGCUGAAGUAGGUCCCAAGGGUAUGGCUGUUCGCCAUUUAAAGUGGUACGCGAGCUGGGUUUAGAACGUCGUGAGACAGUUCGGUCCCUAUCUGCCGUGGGCGCUGGAGAACUGAGGGGGGCUGCUCCUAGUACGAGAGGACCGGAGUGGACGCAUCACUGGUGUUCGGGUUGUCAUGCCAAUGGCACUGCCCGGUAGCUAAAUGCGGAAGAGAUAAGUGCUGAAAGCAUCUAAGCACGAAACUUGCCCCGAGAUGAGUUCUCCCUGACUCCUUGAGAGUCCUGAAGGAACGUUGAAGACGACGACGUUGAUAGGCCGGGUGUGUAAGCGCAGCGAUGCGUUGAGCUAACCGGUACUAAUGAACCGUGAGGCUUAACC
rnacentral:rRNA from 1 species